CUUUAGCUCAGUUGGCCAGAGCACAUGAUUUGUAAUCUUGGGGUCGUUGGUUCGAAUCCGACAA
rnacentral:tRNA from 1 species